GGACGAACGCUGGCGGCGUGCUUAACACAUGCACGUCGAACGGAAAGGCCCCUUUGGGGGUACUCGAGUGGCGAACGGGUGAGUAACACGUGAGUAACCUGCCCUUGACUUCGGGAUAACUUCAGGAAACUGGGGCUAAUACCGGAUAGGAAUCCUUGCUGCAUGGUGGGGGUUGGAAAGCUUCGGCGGUUUUGGAUGGACUCGCGGCUUAUCAGCUUGUUGGUGGGGUAGUGGCUUACCAAGGCUUUGACGGGUAGCCGGCCUGAGAGGGCGACCGGCCACAUUGGGACUGAGAUACGGCCCAGACUCCUACGGGAGGCAGCAGUGGGGAAUAUUGCACAAUGGGCGGAAGCCUGAUGCAGCAACGCCGCGUGCGGGAUGACGGCCUUCGGGUUGUAAACCGCUUUCAGCAGGGGCGAAGCUUGUGGUGACGGUACCUGCAGAAGAAGCACCGGCUAACUACGUG
rnacentral:rRNA from 1 species